UCCUCUGUUUUCUCUUCUCCAGCUGACGAGAUGAUAGUGGGCAAAGUCUAUGCAGCUCUGAUGAUAUUUGACUUCUACGAACAGAACAAGACCACCAGAGACCAGAUUGACCAGCCCACUGGAGGCCUAUCCCAGAUGGGCCCCGUGUCCCUGUUCCACCCUCUGAAGGCCACCCUGGAGCAGACGCAGCCAGCUGUGUUCUGAGGAGCCCAAGUGUUCCUUCAGCAGAAGAGCUCUGCGUCCCUCAGCAGCAGCGGGGCAGUGAACAAAUGGCCAACCUUCAACGUUGGAUAGCCAGAAGAUGGAACCUUCAAAACCUGGUUAAAAUGUUAUCUUGCUCCUAGGAUCAUAGGGGCCAAGAAAAUUACUGCCUCCUGAGAAACCAAAAGUAUUGGAGCUCUUCAGUAACACUUCUGACUUCCCCUCCCGCUCUGUUUCUGUACCUACUAGGGUGUGAUAUGCCUCAUUAUCUCCUCCUAGCCUUGGGGGCUGGCUAAGAGCAAAGGCACUCCCAAGGACAUCUAGGUCUUAGGAGCUGGGGAGACACUCUUGUCUUUUCUUCCCCCCCUGAAAAUGGCGCCAGUAAUCUGUGAGAGUCAUCUGUUAGAACCUCCGGAGGUAAGCUAGUUUAUCUAAAUUUUAAAUGUACAUGUGACUUCCUGCCCCAGGGCCACACUGAGACGUCUGUCGGCCCUUCAGUAAAUCUGUAAACCUCU